CCUACGGGAGGCAGCAGUCGGGAAUUUUGGGCAAUGGGCGAAAGCCUGACCCAGCAACGCCGCGUGAAGGAUGAAGUUUUUCGGAAUGUAAACUUCACAAGAAUGGGAAGAAUAAGUGGGGGCUAAUACCCCCCAUGAUGACGGUACCAUUUGUAAGCUCCGGCUAACUCCGUGCCAGCAGCCGCGGUAAU
rnacentral:rRNA from 1 species